rnacentral:rRNA from 1 species
CAGUAGCCGCGGGAAUACGUAGGUGGCAGGCGUUGUCCGGAAUUAUUGGGCGUAAAGGGCUCGCAGGCGGUUUCUUAAGUCUGAUGUGAAAGCCCCAGGCUCAACCGGGGAGGGUCAUUGGAAACUGGGAAACUUGAGUGCAGAAGAGGAGAGUGGAAUUCCACGUGUAGCGGUGAAAUGCGUAGAGAUGUGGAGGAACACCAGUGGCGAAGGCGACUCUCUGGUCUGUAACUGACGCUGAGGAGCGAAAGCGUGGGGAGCGAACAGGAUUAGAUACCCGGGUAGUCCCUGUCUCUUAUAC